rnacentral:rRNA from 1 species
AACAUGCCCAGGGGACGUGGAUAACCUCGGGAAACUGAGGAUAAACCGCGAUAGGUCAUAAUGUCUGGAAUGAUUUAUGGCUAAAAUCUACAUGGCCCCUGGAUUGGACUGCGGCCGAUCAGGCUGUUGGUGAGGUAAUGGCCCACCAAACCUAAAACCGGUACGGGCUCUGAGAGGAGAAGCCCGGAGAUGGGCACUGAGACAAGGGCCCAGGCCCUAUGGGGCGCAGCAGGCGCGAAAACUCUGCAAUAAGCGAAAGCUUGACAGAGUUAUUCUGAGUGAUUUCCGCUAAGGAGAUCUUUUGGCACCUCUAAAAAUGGUGCAGAAUAAGGGGUGGGCAAGCCUGGUGUCAGCCGCCGCGGUAAUACCAGCACCCCGAGUGGUCGGGACGAUUAUUGGGCCUAAAGCAUCCGUAGCCGGUUCUACAAGUCUUCCGUUAAAUCCACCUGCUUAACAGUUGGGCUGCAGAGGAUACUAUAGAGCUAGGAGGCGGGAGAGGCAAGCGGUAC